CAUUCAGUUGGGCACUCUAGCGAGACUGCCGGUAAUAAACCGGAGGAAGGUGGGAUGACGUCAAAUCAUCAUGCCCUUACUGACCUGGGCUACACACGUGCUACAAUGGUUGGUACAACGAGUUGCGAGUCGGUGACGGCGAGCUAAUCUCUUAAAGCCAAUCUCAGUUCGGAUUGUAGGCUGCAACUCGCCUACAUGAAGUCGGAAUCGCUAGUAAUCGCGGAUCAGCACGCCGCGGUGAAUGCGUUCCCGGGCCUU
rnacentral:rRNA from 1 species